UACAUAGGGGGCGAGCGUUAUCCGGAAUUAUUGGGUGUAAAGGGUGCGUAGACGGGAAAACAAGUUGGUUGUGAAAUCCCUCGGCUUAACUGAGGAACUGCAACCAGAACUAUUUUUUUUGAGUGCGGGAGAGGAAAGUGGAAUUCCUAGUGUAGCGGUGAAAUGCGUAGAUAUUAGGAGGAACACCAGUGGCGAAGGCGACUUUCUGUACCGUAACUGACGUUGAGGCACGAAAGUGUGGGGAGCAAAC
rnacentral:rRNA from 1 species